UUUCAUGAAAUUAUAUUUCAAGCUUAAAUAAAUAUUAUAAUCAUCUGCCAAUUCUUCAUCGCAGGUCGCCAUUGUUGGGGCUAAUGUCUGCUCCCAUUAAGAGCCUUGAUUACGAGAUUUUUGAUAACGAGUUAUUCGUGCAAGAUUGGCUGGCGAUGCGGGAUGAACAGGAAGCCGGGUUACGGUGCCUAACUGCGUGCUAACCUAGAUCCUUCAAAGGGUGUUGGUCGAUUAAGACGGCAGGACGGUGGUCAUGGAAGUUGAAAUCCGCUAAGGAAUGUGUAACAACUCACCUGCCGAAUCAACUAGCCCCGAAAAUGGAUGGCACUGAAGCGCGCGACCUAUACCCGGCGGUCGAGGCGAGGAAUCGUGAGGAUUUCCAGAUAUUUCAAUUACUUGGUUAUGAAGUGGCUUUCAUGCUUCUUGAUCGGUUUGAUAAUGGGUCUUGUUGGUUUCUGAAAUAAUCUAGCAGUGGAGAAUAUUGCAGGGAAGAAGUUUGUGGUCACUUCCAAUAUGAUGGUCGAGGGUGUUAGGAAUUACGACCCUCCACAGUGGUGGUGGCGUUAGGAAUUACAACUCUCGUGGUGGCGUUGCUUUGGGCGUUCCCAAAAGGCCUUAUACCAAUGGAGAUGUAUUCCUUACUUAUACACCAUGAUCAUUCUCUAAAUUAGCGAACGUGGGGCAGGUACUGAUUUCACUUUGUUCUUCUGUGCUACUGUUGAUUGAAAUCUUUGCAACC